GGGGGAGGGCACCGGAGGCAGGUGCCGGGCGCAGGCCCAGCGCGGCGUUAGUAGAGACGCGCCGGGUGCCAGCCCCUCGCCGCGCGCCGCACCUUAAAUUGUUGACAAAGUGCUCCCACUUUGUGGCUGGAGCCGUGCGACCUUGGCGCGGGUCCCCGAGUGGCGGGCUGGAAAACCUGGAGGCCAGAGCCGUUCGCGGACUCGCCCGAGCCCAGCCAGCCAGUGGGGAGAGGCAGGACGCGGACUCCGCGUGCUUUGAUUGCGCCCGGCAGUCCUCGGCGUGGGCUCCCGGCCUCGCAGCGGCAGCUGCAGCUGCAGCGGCACGCGAGAGCUGUCAAAUGCACGUUCUCGGACCCCACCCGGACCCACGGAAUCCGAAUCUCUGGGUGGGUCCGCGCAACUGUGGAGUGGCCCUCCGGGUGAUGAAAACCGUGAGGACAUACUGAAUGCCGGCGACAAAUUAACAGAGGUCCUUGAAGAGGCUAACACUCUGUUUAAUGAAGUGUCCCGAGCAAGAGAAGCAGUCCUGGAUGCCCACUUUCUUGUUUUGGCUUCAGAUUUGGGCAAAGAGAAAGCAAAGCAGCUGCGCUCAGACCUGAGCUCCUUUGACAUGUUAAGAUAUGUUGAAACUCUACUCACACAUAUGGGUGUAAAUCCGCUAGAAGCUGAAGAACUCAUCCGUGAUGAAGAUAGUCCUGAUUUUGAAUUCAUAGUCUAUGACUCCUGGAAAAUAUCAGGCAAAACAGCAGAAAACACCUUUAAUAAAACCCAUACAUUCCACUUUCUGUUGGGUUCAAUAUACGGAGAGUGCCCUGUGCCAAAGCCACGA
rnacentral:sRNA from 1 species